rnacentral:misc_RNA from 1 species
AGUCGUAACAAGGUUUCCGUAGGUGAACCUGCGGAAGGAUCAUUACUGUGAUUUACUACUACACUGCGUGAGCGGAACGAAAACAACAACACCUAAAAUGUGGAAUAUAGCAUAUAGUCGACAAGAGAAAUCUACGAAAAAACAAACAAAACUUUCAACAACGGAUCUCUUGGUUCUCGCAUCGAUGAAGAGCGCAGCGAAAUGCGAUACCUAGUGUGAAUUGCAGCCAUCGUGAAUCAUCGAGUUCUUGAACGCACAUUGCGCCCCUCGGCAUUCCGGGGGGCAUGCCUGUUUGAGCGUCGUUUCCAUCUUGCGCGUGCGCAGAGUUGGGGGAGCGGAGCGGACGACGUGUAAAGAGCGUCGGAGCUGCGACUCGCCUGAAAGGGAGCGAAGCUGGCCGAGCGAACUAGACUUUUUUUCAGGGACGCUUGGCGGCCGAGAGCGAGUGUUGCGAGACAACAAAAAGCUCGACCUCAAAUCAGGUAGGAAUACCCGCUGAACUUAAGCAUAUCAAUAA